rnacentral:rRNA from 1 species
UUCGCCCUUAGAGUUUGAUCCUGGCUCAGGACGAACGCUGGCGGCGUGCUUAACACAUGCAAGUCGAACGGGACCAUAUUGAAGGAGGCUUCGGCCAAUGGAUAUAUGGUUUAGUGGCGGACGGGUGAGUAACGCGUGAGGAACCUGCCUCGGAGUGGGGGACAACAGUUGGAAACGACUGCUAAUACCGCAUAACGCAUAGAUGCGGCAUCGUAUUUAUGCCAAAGAUUUAUCGCCCUGAGAUGGCCUCGCGUCUGAUUAGCUGGUUGGUGAGGUAACGGCCCACCAAGGCGACGAUCAGUAGCCGGACUGAGAGGUUGGCCGGCCACAUUGGGACUGAGAUACGGCCCAGACUCCUACGGGAGGCAGCAGUGGGGAAUAUCGCACAAUGGGGGGAACCCUGAUGCAGCAACGCCGCGUGAGUGAAGAAGUAUUUCGGUAUGUAAAGCUCUGUCAGCAGGGAAGAUAAUGACGGUACCUGACCAAGAAGCCCCGGCUAACUACGUGCCAGCAGCCGCGGUAAUACGUAGGGGGCAAGCGUUAUCCGGAUUUACUGGGUGUAAAGGGAGCGCAGGCGGCAGGGCAAGUCAGAUGUGAAAGCCCGGGGCUCAACCCCGGGACUGCAUUUGAAACUGUCCGGCUGGAGUGCAGGAGAGGCAGGCGGAAUUCCUAGUGUAGCGGUGAAAUGCGUAGAUAUUAGGAGGAACACCAGUGGCGAAGGCGGUCUGCUGGACAGCAACUGACGCUGAGGCGCGAAAGCGUGGGGAGCAAACAGGAUUAGAUACCCUGGUAGUCCACGCUGUAACGAUGGAUACUAGGUGUGCGGGGACUGACCCCCUGCGUGCCGCAGUUAACACAAUAAGUAUCCCACCCGGGGAGUACGAUCGCAAGGUUGAAACUCAAAGGAAUUGACGGGGGCCCGCACAAGCGGUGGAUUAUGUGGUUUAAUUCGAUGCAACGCGAAGAACCUUACCAGGGCUUGACAUCCUACUAACGAGGUAGAGAUACGUUAGGUGCCCUUCGGGGAAAGUAGAGACAGGUGGUGCAUGGUUGUCGUCAGCUCGUGUCGUGAGAUGUUGGGUUAAGUCCCGCAACGAGCGCAACCCUUAUUGUUAGUUGCUACGCAAGAGCACUCUAGCGAGACUGCCGUUGACAAAACGGAGGAAGGUGGGGACGACGUUAAAUCAUCAUGCCCCUUACGUCCUGGGCUACACACGUAAUACAAUGGCGGUCAACAGAGGGAUGCAAAGCCGCGAGGCAGAGCGAACCCCUAAAAGCCGUCCCAGUUCAGAUCGCAGGCUGCAACCCGCCUGCGUGAAGUCGGAAUCGCUAGUAAUCGCGGAUCAGCAUGCCGCGGUGAAUACGUUCCCGGGCCUUGCACUCACCGCCCGUCA